rnacentral:rRNA from 1 species
GACGAACGCUGGCGGCGUGCUUAACACAUGCAAGUCGAACGGAAAGGCCCUGCUUUUGUGGGGUGCUCGAGUGGCGAACGGGUGAGUAACACGUGAGUAACCUGCCCUUGACUUUGGGAUAACUUCAGGAAACUGGGGCUAAUACCGGAUAGGAGCUCCUGCUGCAUGGUGGGGGUUGGAAAGUUUCGGCGGUUGGGGAUGGACUCGCGGCUUAUCAGCUUGUUGGUGGGGUAGUGGCUUACCAAGGCUUUGACGGGUAGCCGGCCUGAGAGGGUGACCGGCCACAGUGGGGCUGAGAUACGGCCGCGGCUGCUACGGGAGGCAGCAGUGGGGAAUAUUGCACAAUGGGCGGAAGCCUGAUGGAGCAACGCCGCGUGCGGGAUGACGGCCUUCGGGUUGUAAACCGCUUUCGCCUGUGACGAAGCGUGAGUGACGGGAAUGGGUAAAGAAGCACCGGCUAACUACGUG